AGAUUAAGUUAUUAAGGGCGCACGGUGGAUGCCUUGGCACUAGAAGCCGAUGAAGGACGUUACUAACGACGAUAUGCUUUGGGGAGCUGUAAGUAAGCUUUGAUCCAGAGAUUUCCGAAUGGGGAAACCCAGCAUGAGUUAUGUCAUGUUAUCGAUAUGUGAAUACAUAGCAUAUCAGAAGGCACACCCGGAGAACUGAAACAUCUUAGUACCCGGAGGAAGAGAAAGAAAAUUCGAUUCCCUUAGUAGCGGCGAGCGAAACGGGAAGAGCCCAAACCAACAAGCUUGCUUGUUGGGGUUGUAGGACACUCUAUACGGAGUUACAAAGGACGACAUUAGACGAAUCAUCUGGAAAGAUGAAUCAAAGAAGGUAAUAAUCCUGUAGUCGAAAAUGUUGUCUCUCUUGAGUGGAUCCUGAGUACGACGGAGCACGUGAAAUUCCGUCGGAAUCUGGGAGGACCAUCUCCUAAGGCUAAAUACUCUCUAGUGACCGAUAGUGAACCAGUACCGUGAGGGAAAGGUGAAAAGCACCCCGGAAGGGGAGUGAAAUAGAACCUGAAACCGUGUGCUUACAAGUAGUCAGAGCCCGUUAAUGGGUGAUGGCGUGCCUUUUGUAGAAUGAACCGGCGAGUUACGAUUUGAUGCAAGGUUAAGCAGUAAAUGUGGAGCCGUAGCGAAAGCGAGUCUGAAUAGGGCGUUUAGUAUUUGGUCGUAGACCCGAAACCAGGUGAUCUACCCUUGGUCAGGUUGAAGUUCAGGUAACACUGAAUGGAGGACCGAACCGACUUACGUUGAAAAGUGAGCGGAUGAACUGAGGGUAGCGGAGAAAUUCCAAUCGAACCUGGAGAUAGCUGGUUCUCUCCGAAAUAGCUUUAGGGCUAGCCUCAAGUGAUGAUUAUUGGAGGUAGAGCACUGUUUGGACGAGGGGCCCCUCUCGGGUUACCGAAUUCAGACAAACUCCGAAUGCCAAUUAAUUUAACUUGGGAG
rnacentral:rRNA from 1 species